GGGGAAUAGCUCACAUGGAAAAAAAAUGUCAAAGCUUUGAGCUCAGGAUACGAUCUUCGACUACAAGGAGCAGUCCCUGAAAGCAUUCCUGCAACACUCCAUCACAGCCACCCAAACAAAACCACGGAGAGAACUCGAGGAAAUUCCAGUGAGCCGCUCAAUCAGAGACUGUGGAAGGCCUCGUCGGCCUGCGAACAUCUCGCAUGUGCCAAGAAUUCACACUUCCUCGCUAUAUCAACAGAAACAGUGGAUGGUACCUGGCCCAGUAAUCCCACCAGGAAUGUCCGAGGAUGCGUUCAGAUGCAUUUGGCUGAGAAAGCAGUGCAGCCCUUCCAGCUGAAACAUCUGUGGGAGUCAGAUAGACAGAUCCUUUUUUCUCAGAGAGGACUCUGUGGUUGUCAGUCUCACUGAGAUUUCAUCAAAUUUUAUGGGAAAAGUAUUCAGUUUUCUUCAGCCAGUAAAGGGAGCUGCCUUAUUCAUUAUUACCCAUAAAGGUAUAAUGCAAAAACAGGCUUUGAGUCAGCUCUUUGCUCACAACUUAACACAGCUGAGGUCACAGGAUUUCCUAACUCUAGCUCGCUACAUUUCUGGAUAUACUAUGUUUUCAAUAUCCAAUUAUCAUGUGCAGUAGUACUUGUAAUAUCAGUAUUUUAACACCUGGAGAUUGUACCUUCUGAGCACGGGUUUGGGUUGAUGUUGUAAGAACUACCACUAAAUAUCACAGCCUAUACCUUAAAGCUCCUGUGAGGAACUUUCUGUUUGCAUUGAUUCUGGCACCCCCUACAGACAUAUACAUAUAUGUAUGUUGUGUUUAAAUGAUUACUUUUAUUUACAUCACAUCUCAUCUUGCUUGUUUGAACACUUAAACCCUUAACUUAUUGAAACUCUUUGCAGUGGAAAAUAAUAACUAGCACAGAACGGACAUCCUAGUGACGUCCACGUUUUUGUAUUUAGGGAGUGGCACCAGUAGGAAGACAAAGAAGAAGAGAGUUGUUGUGAGCACAAGUGUUUCAUUGAUUGUUAAAAAAAUUGACAAAUGGAGCAUCGCACUUAUCAUGGAUCACAGCACCUUUUUUACCUCGAAGUCCACCAUCACUUAACCAACAUGAGGUGUGAGCAAGGGAGCUUUUGUAACCGUUAGUGCCAUUUCCAAACA